GCUUUAUUGAGCAGAUUGAAAGGACAAAGCUUCCACAGUGUGGAAGGGGUCCCGAGCGGGUAGCCAGAGUUAGAUUAUGUGACUGCCUUUUAAACUCUUUAAGGCCGGAAAUACGUGUGGCGAGAUGUUACCAGAGCGAGAAACAAAGGCAAUUAACCGUUUGUAACAUGUCUUAGAUCUUGAGGAAAACUGGAAUUGCAACUUAGGUUUUAUCUACUUUAUGAACUUGCAGCAGCAUGGCAAAGGAGACGGGAUCUUACAGGACUUUGUUACAAAGUAUGUUUUCAAGGAAUUGGAAUUGGGAGGAUAGAUAAGGUCCGCUGGUCACAGAAAAACAGGCAGUUAACGUUCCUUUUACUUUAGUUUCGGGGGAGGCGGAAGAGAAAGAGAGAGAGAGGACACAGGGAAACUUACAGCAAAAGUUUCGAUGUUUAUAGCUUUCUUGGGGAAGAAAACACAUGCACAGAUCCUGGUGUUAGGAAUAUUUUAAGCAUGUAUCUUCAAUAUUAUUCAUCCAGGACCGAAGUAAGUCCUGAUGCAGGAAAUGAGUGACUUUCACAGCUUUCUGAGCCCCUACUCAACCCAGGAAGUCCAGCUGGCACCUCCUCUGGAUCACAAGUUUCAAGUGAACCUGGAUAUUUCAAAUAAUCUUUCUUUUGCCGUAAAUUACAAGAUUUUCCAGUUUGACCACUGGCGCUUAACCUAACUACAUACUGAAGGCACUUCAAGCUGGUGUGGGUGGACGUUCUUUCCUGUUGAAAAGAGAACAAAACCCUCAACAAGGAGCAGCUGGAGACAAACUUGGAGCGAGGAAAAGCAGAAAGUGUUGCGAAGCAUAAUCAUUUAAAUCACAGAUUAAGUCAACAUAAUAGCAGAGAAAAUGCAGGAAAUUCAAAAUGUUUGACUAUAGUGGCAACCUCACAGAGUCUUUUCUUUGGGAUCAACAGAGAAAAUGAGCUAAAUGAAUACAAUUUUAUAUCUCCUGACAUAGAAGUAAAGGAUUCAUGAGCAAAUGUUUUAUUUUAUACUAUAAUUUUUAAAAUAUUUCCUUUAAAUACAAAGCCUUAACCAACAAAAUGUAACCAUUAGCUUCAUGAAAAACAAUAAAAAUAAGAGUUAUUAACUAUUACGCUUUCUUGAUAUUUCAUUAUAUACACAUCCAAAUUAAUUUGAUUUAAGAAAUAUCAUUUUUAUUUUUAUUUAUAACUUGUAUUUUAAGUUCAGGGGUACACGUGCAGGAUGUGCAUGUUUGUUACAUAAGUAAACAUGUGACAUGGGAAUUUGUGGUACCGAUU
rnacentral:lncRNA from 1 species